GAUGAACGCUGGCGGCGUGCCUAAUACAUGCAAGUCGAGCGAACGGACGAGAAGCUUGCUUCUCUGAUGUUAGCGGCGGACGGGUGAGUAACACGUGGAUAACCUACCUAUAAGACUGGGAUAACUUCGGGAAACCGGAGCUAAUACCGGAUAAUAUUUUGAACCGCAUGGUUCAAAAGUGAAAGACGGUCUUGCUGUCACUUAUAGAUGGAUCCGCGCUGCAUUAGCUAGUUGGUAAGGUAACGGCUUACCAAGGCAACGAUGCAUAGCCGACCUGAGAGGGUGAUCGGCCACACUGGAACUGAGACACGGUCCAGACUCCUACGGGAGGCAGCAGUAGGGAAUCUUCCGCAAUGGGCGAAAGCCUGACGGAGCAACGCCGCGUGAGUGAUGAAGGUCUUCGGAUCGUAAAACUCUGUUAUCAGGGAAGAACAUAUGUGUAAGUAACUGUGCACAUCUUGACGGUACCUAAUCAGAAAGCCACGGCUAACUACGUGCCAGCGGCCGCGGUAAUACGUAGGUGGCAAGCGUUAUCCGGAAUUAUUGGGCGUAAAGCGCGCGUAGGCGGUUUUUUAAGUCUGAUGUGAAAGCCCACGGCUCAACCGUGGAGGGUCAUUGGAAACUGGAAAACUUGAGUGCAGAAGAGGAAAGUGGAAUUCCAUGUGUAGCGGUGAAAUGCGCAGAGAUAUGGAGGAACACCAGUGGCGAAGGCGACUUUCUGGUCUGUAACCGACGCUGAUGUGCGAAAGCGUGGGGAUCAAACAGGAUUAGAUACCCUGGUAGUCCACGCCGUAAACGAUGAGUGCUAAGUGUUAGGGGGUUUCCGCCCCUUAGUGCUGCAGCUAACGCAUUAAGCACUCCGCCUGGGGAGUACGACCGCAAGGUUGAAACUCAAAGGAAUUGACGGGGACCCGCACAAGCGGUGGAGCAUGUGGUUUAAUUCGAAGCAACGCGAAGAACCUUACCAAAUCUUGACAUCCUUUGACAACUCUAGAGAUAGAGCUUUCCCCUUCGGGGGACAAAGUGACAGGUGGUGCAUGGUUGUCGUCAGCUCGUGUCGUGAGAUGUUGGGUUAAGUCCCGCAACGAGCGCAACCCUUAAGCUUAGUUGCCAUCAUUAAGUUGGGCACUCUAAGUUGACUGCCGGUGACAAACCGGAGGAAGGUGGGGAUGACGUCAAAUCAUCAUGCCCCUUAUGAUUUGGGCUACACACGUGCUACAAUGGACAAUACAAAGGGCAGCGAAACCGCGAGGUCAAGCAAAUCCCAUAAAGUUGUUCUCAGUUCGGAUUGUAGUCUGCAACUCGACUACAUGAAGCUGGAAUCGCUAGUAAUCGUAGAUCAGCAUGCUACGGUGAAUACGUUCCCGGGUCU
rnacentral:rRNA from 1 species